GGAAGUAAAAGUUGUAACAAGGUUUCCGUAGGUGAACCUGCGGAAGGAUCAUUAGUGAACGCCCUCACGGGCUUAUAACUAUUCCAAACCUCUGUGAACCGUGCCCUUCGGGGCUAUUUUACAAACAUGGUGUAAUGAACGUCAUAUAUCAUAACAAAACAAAACUUUCAACAACGGAUCUCUUGGCUCUC
rnacentral:misc_RNA from 1 species